CCCUUAGAUGUUCUGGGCGGCACGCGCGCUACACUGACAGGGCCAACGAGUGCAUCGCCUUGGCCGUAAGGUCUGGGUAAUCUUGUUAAACCCUGUCGUGCUGGGGAUAGAGCAUUGCAAUUGUUGCUCUUCAACGAGGAAUGCCUAGUAAGCGCGUGUCAUCAGCACGCGUUGAUUACGUCCCUGCCCUUUGUACACACCGCCCGUCGCUCCUACCGAUCGAAGAGUUAGGUGAAUUGUUUUGAUCGAUAAGAUUUGACUAUGGUCAACUCUCGUUGUGAAAUUCUGUGAAUCUGACUGUUUAGAGGAAGGAAAAGUCGUAACA
rnacentral:rRNA from 1 species